GACAGAGGGUGCAAACGUUGUUCGGAAUUACUGGGCGUAAAGCGCGUGUAGGCUGCUUGGAAAGUCGGAUGUGAAAGCCCUGGGCUCAACCUAGGAAGUGCAUUCGAAACUUCUGAGCUUGAGUGUCGGAGAGGAAGGCGGAAUUCUCGGUGUAGAGGUGAAAUUCGUAGAUAUCGAGAGGAACACCUGUGGCGAAGGCGGCCUUCUGGACGACAACUGACGCUGAGACGCGAAAGCGUGGGGAGCAAACAGG
rnacentral:rRNA from 1 species